GCUAUUGGUUCCCCUGUAAGAGUUUGUCAAGCUUCUUUCCUGAUACAAACAUGUCUGUUCUCAUCUGAGGAGGCGCUCAAGAUGUUAUUGUCACUGAGACUGACUGUGUUUCACUUUGGGGAAGCUCUGAUAACUUUACUUUGAUUAUAGCUUCCUGGCUCCAGAGAAGAAGAUGGCAAGCUGUUCAGUUUCCUGGAGAAGCUUGUUGCACUGGGUUUCUGACAUAAACUCAGCUAUAUAGAGAAGCUUGGGACUUGUUAUCACUGAUGAUGGCUAUGGUACUUCUCAUGAGAGCUCUGAUCCUUAUUUUGGGCAGCAAAAGUACAUGACCUGACUCAAGUACAUGACCUUUAGCCUACUGGUGUGCAUGAUCCUUCAUUUUGCUGGCAGAGUUUCUAGCUUCCACUACUGAUUCUUGGGCCUUUCCAGCACAAAUCCCUGAAGCAGACUUAGACUCUGGAUUCUGGAACAACAGAGUGCUGGUGGAAAGGCUGUGAGUCAACAUGAAGCUCAGGAGGCUUCUACAGAGAAGGACUGCAUUGGCUGCUGGAUCCCAGAGACUAUGAGGAAAUGGAUAUCAUUAUCAAGUUGACCAGGAUUGGAUUGUGGUGGAUUGACAACUGGUGGUUGAAUUGUCACACCAGCUGAAUUGAAUCAGUAUGGUGCUGAGUGUGGAUGAUCCACCUGAGGAUUGUUGGCAAGAUAAAAAGAAGGAGAACUAGAGAAGAAGAAGAAGAAGUGUUGUUGUUUGUCCUCUGUUGUUGGUUCUUUUGUUGCCAUCAUUCUCAUGGAGGUGUUUUUCAGAGGUUCUCAUCACACCCAUUACAUCUGUCUUCCAGUCAGGUACCAUCAUGGCUGUUAGCACAAUGAAGAGGGAUUACACAGGUCACCAGGAAAAAUUGAGCAUCCCAGUGCACAGAGCAGCAGCGAUGAAACCACACAGUCUCUAAGAAUGUGUCUCGGGAUUCUUCCCCUAUCUCACAGUAAUGUAUAAAUCUGGUAUAUAUGAGAAAUAGAAAAUACUACACAUUGUAAAGAGAAACUUUGCAUUAGAGCACUGAAAAUAUCCACUACAUUUAAUGAGUAUGAAUACUUAGACUUGAUGAAUUGUACCAUUUUGCUUAGCUAUAAAAUUACCAUCUCUCUCAGAGUUUUAAUAACUAUAAAAAAAUCAGACACAGAAAGUUAAGUGUCACAUGAUUUCUUUUGUAUAAGAAACUUAAGUUAUAAAUACUUUAAAGAGCAAAAUAAAAGACUGAAUAGGGAACACAAAGAUAGACUUUGUGGGGUGGAGAAGGGAUCUGGGGAUUGGAAAUAGUGGGGAAGGAAGAGAAAGAGAAGUAAAAAGAUUCAAUAUGUGGUAUAUACAUGUGUGAAUUUCCUAUUAAUGUGCUCAUUUUUUAUUGAAAACAUGGAAAUGUAAAUGCAUAUCUAUCAUUAAAAACAAAAAAGUAUUUUCAUCUAUCUUCUGAUUAAUAAUUCAGAUAAGUUAUGUUUAUUUCCUGCUCAGGAAAACAAUGGGUUAAUAUUGUUGACAUUAUUGUGGUUUCAUUCAACAAUGAGUUGAAUUUUAAUGAAGCAAAUUAUCAUUUUUGACCAGUUGCAUUGAACUCAUGUGAAGCAACACAUAAUAUUUCAUUAAGACAUUAUCUAUUGAUGUAUGAUCUCUGCCUGCUGAUUGAUACAUAAUACUAGCCACUUUUUAGAUUGACAACUUUUUAAGGUUUUAGAACACAUAUGUAGUAUACAAAGUUAACAUUCUUUUUAUUUCCUUUCUCCAUGUUAUGCAACUGCUUCCUUUUAUCACUGGAUCAUCAUUGCUCAUUUUCAUUAUUUUUGUUAUUGUUCGUUCACAUUUGUAACAUAUAAUGAUUAUAUCCACUUUGUUUUUAUGGUAUGUGUAGAUGAUGUAUCUUUUUUUUUUUUUUUUCCCUUUCCCCUCACCCCUUUCCCUCAUCCUCAGUCUUGGAGAUCCCUUUCCAUUUGGAAAAGAUCUUUUCCCUGAUUUAUUGUAUGAGACUUUGAUAUUACUUUUUACUUGUAUUUGUAUCACUAAAAUGAGAAAAACUACACAACAUUCAAGAUUUUCUAUCUGAUUUAUUUCACUUAGUAUUAUAUUUUCCAGGUGAAUACAUUUUCCUACAAAUGUCUUAAAUAUAUCCCUGUUUAUAAUCAAGUAGUAUUCCAUUAUGUAGUGAUACCACAUUUUAUUUAUUUAUUCAUCUGUUGAUAGACAUAUAGGCUGCUUCCAGGAUUUAUCUAAGUUGCACUGUUAAUACAUUUGUAUGCCUUUAUCACUAUAAUUCAAUGUCUUUAAUUCUUGGGGAAGAUUCUCAGAAGAAAAAUGCCUAAUCAAAUAAACUGUUUUUAGAUUUUUUGAGAUUUCUCCAUAC